GAUGAACGCUGGCGGCGUGCCUAAUACAUGCAAGUCGAGCGAACGGACGAGAAGCUUGCUUUUCUGAUGUUAGCGGCGGACGGGUGAGUAACACGUGGAUAACCUACCUAUAAGACUGGGAUAACUUCGGGAAACCGGAGCUAAUACCGGAUAAUAUUUUGAACCGCAUGGUUCAAAAGUGAAAGUCGGUCUUGCUGUCACUUAUAGAUGGAUCCGCGCUGCAUUAGCUAGUUGGUAAGGUAACGGCUUACCAAGGCAACGAUGCAUAGCCGACCUGAGAGGGUGUACGGCCACACUGGGACUGAGAGGUGGUCCUGACUCCUACAGGAGGCAGCAGUAGGGAAUCUUCCGCACUGGGCGAAAGCCUGCCGGAGCAGCGCCGCGUGAGUGAUGAAGGUCUUCGGAUCGUAAAACUCUGUUAUUAGGGUAGAACAUAUGUGUAAGUAACUGUGCACAUCUUGACGGUACCUAGACAGAAAGCCACGGCUAACUACGUG
rnacentral:rRNA from 1 species